UUUAGAUACAAUCAAAUGUCCAAACCAUCUCUGAGUGAAUGACAUCAAGGAAACAGGAUCAAAAGAUCAUUCAUUAUAGACCGUUUCAUAGGUCAUUCUGUUCUCCUGGUGGUGAGGAUGUGCAGAGGCUGUAUUUGUGCAGCUGUAUUCACACAUACAAGUAGCCGACAUAGAGUUCUGGAGCAGGACAGACAGGGCAGCACGGUGGCGCAGAGGGUAACACGUUUGCCUCACAGCAAGAAGGUCG